UACAGAGGCCCCAAGCGUUAGGCGGAAUCACUGGGCGUAAAGGGUGCGUAGGCGGGUCUUUAAGUCAGGGGUGAAAUCCUGGAGCUCAACUCCAGAACUGCCUUUGAUACUGAGGAUCUUGAGUUCGGGAGAGGUGAGUGGAACUGCGAGUGUAGAGGUGAAAUUCGUAGAUAUUCGCAAGAACACCAGUGGCGAAGGCGGCUCACUGGCCCGAUACUGACGCUGAGGCACGAAAGCGUGGGGAGCAAACAGG
rnacentral:rRNA from 1 species